GGUGUGGCCAAGAGUAACCGGACAAGGCCGCGGAUGAUGGCCGUGACCAGAAAUGGACCGUGGUAAGGGAAAAGCACCAUGAGGACCGCGGCCAUGGGAAGAUGUGUGGUGAUUGGGUUGAUUCUGAAAAUUGUGUAAUUAUUGUCGCCUAUUGUGCAACCUGUGAACUUAUGUGAUUCUAGUGUGUGAUCUAUUUAUUAGGAUGAUGAAUUAUGUAUGAACCUUGGUUAUUAUCUAUGAAAUAUCUAUUUGCCCUAGUC
rnacentral:lncRNA from 1 species